ACCACCACCAUCAAAUCCAUCACCACCACCACAAAAUCCCACCCCCACCAAAGCUCUUAGAUCUAAAGCAAUCCAAGCACAACUUCAAACCCUAACAAACCCUCACUUUCAAACCCACAAUCUAUUCCUAACAAGACCUCACAUGCAUCCAAAAUCAAACCCUAUAUGAAGCUCAACUCUAAUCCAAGACCUGAAACCCUCGCACCACCACCACAACCGCUGCCACCUCCUUCGUAUGUUCCCAUUGCAGCUCCCUGGGGUUCUGGUUUGGCCACCCUGUCCCGAUCGAUGGCUAGGGUUUGAGUAUGAUUAAUAUCGGGAGAUCAACAAAGAUCUGAAAUCGCCAGUGACAUAUCAGGCAACAACGAGUUUUCCGGUCACCCAUUUCUUGUGUAAGAGGUUGUGGCAGGCGGUGGUCGUAUGGAUGGUGGGUGGCGAUGAUAGAGAGAAAUAGGGAGAGGACGUUUUAUUUUGGUUUAGCCAGUGAUUUGUGGUAAUUGUUUGCGGUGAACGAAAAUUGUGAUUUGGUUUGAAUGAAAGUGUUGUUGGUUGUUUUACCUUUUGCAAUACAAUUGUUGUUGAUAAAAGAUUUUUAUUUUUUGCGAUGAA